rnacentral:tRNA from 1 species
GGGGUUGUGGUGUAAUGGCAGCACAACUGGCUCCAGACCAGUUAAUCUGGGUUCGACUCCCAGCAACCCCA